UGCAGCAGAAAUAACUUGCUGAUAAUUGGUUGUUAUUUGCUGAUAUGUAUUUAUGAUCAGACUGAGCUAUAACACAAAGAAUAGAUUAAAUUGGUAGGAUCAGAUUGUAACUAUGGUAACACAAUAAUCAAACAGUAAAUGUUAGGUUCUGGGUGGAGGUUGGGGUUGGUUUUCUCCUCUAGAUGGAGUCCUGGAGACGGCUGCACGGGGGACGGACCUGUUACGUCAUCUUCACGCCGGUUGGCAAUUACGCCCUUACCUGCAGCUUAAGAGAAGCGGUCUGCCACACUUCAACGCCAGAUUGUUGACUAGUUAUGACUUAACCCGAGUAUCCGGAUCUGGACGUCCGCUCCCCUUGGCCCCUCGUGACGCUGGCGGGAGUUACCCGUCAGAUGCCCGAGUCCCCUUGCAAGCUGACCGUUGAAUCCAUCUCCACCCUCUCACGUUGGCAAACCGCCCGCUUAGACGCUCUCAAGCCCUGACCGACCUGUCCAUCCUCCAACGCCGCCACACCGACUCGAGUCAAGCGCUGCUCCUUCCUUCCGUUAAGGACCCGACGCUUCCAAGCAAACGCUCCCCCCGCGAAGACCAAGGAAACUGAAACCCAGAAUCUCUACUCCCUCCUAGGUGUCACUAUUACCACCACACCCUGUGCUGUUGGUGCUGCUGCCCCCUGCUUGAACCAGUUUUUUCCCCCUGCAUACAAUAAACCUGUUAAACUUUUCUUGUUCUCCUGCCGGUGUUCUUGCAUGUGGGUUUAUCGUAUCACACCCGACAUGACAGUAAAGAUGAUUACAAAGUAUACUUUUACAAAGUAAACUCGCCAAUUCCGUUGCAUUUUUGCCAAUUAGUUUUUUUUUUUAGCUAUCUAUGCUGAAAGUGUCAAAUCAAAUUUAUUAAUAUUUUCAUCCUCGAUAAAAGUAAAAAUUGAGAUCUGUGUUAAAAUGCAAGUCUGUAUGGGAGGCCCCAUGUGGCUUGGGGGACCUUUGUUUGCUUGUGCCUUGGGCCAGCUCUGCUUAUAUCAAUAGUUAAGGAUAAUGAUGGUAUCAUGGUGUGGGUAUAUUUACUUGGAAAACUCUGGGCCCCUUCACACCAGCUGAGCAUCAUUUAAACCAUAGGAGUACUGAUAGUGACCGUGUCCAU